AUGCAACAACUCUAUCUGGGAAUCUUCCCCUUUUGCUGUACUAACUCACUCCUACAGUUUGGACUUGUCAAGCCUGAGAUCCCGAUCGCCAUGGAGCUUCCGUUGACCUCGGCCCUCCUCCUGCUCCUACCUCUACUCUGCUUCCUCUGGCUACGCCGGGACACCAGGAGGCAGAGUCGCUCCGACGGCCUCAAGGCCUACCCCAUCAUCGGCACGCUCCCCCACUUCGUCAAGAACCAGCACCGCCUCAUCGAGUGGUCGGCCGGCGUCCUGGCGCGGUGCCCCACCUACACCAUGACCUUCAACUUCAGGGGCCUCGGCCUCGGGGCCGGCGUCAUGACGGCCAACCCGGCCAACGUCGAGCACGUCGCCAAGGCCAACUUCCAGAACUACCCCAAGGGCGAGUUCGUGGUGUCCGUCAUCGAGGACCUGCUCGGCCACGGCAUCUUCAACUCCGACGGCGACCAGUGGCUCCGGCAGCGCAAGGCCGCCAGCUACGAGUUCAACACGCGGUCGCUGCGGAACUUCGUGGUCAGCGCCGUCGGCUCCGAGGUCGUCGACCGGCUGCUGCCGCUGCUGGAGCGCGCGGGGCGCGACGGGCGGACGGUGGACGUGCAGGACGUGCUGGAGCGCUUCGCGUUCGACACCAUCUGCUGCGUCGUCUUCGACGAGGACCCGGCGUGCCUCGCCGAGGAGGAGUGGCCGGGGGCGGACGGGCGUGCGGAGUUCAUGCGCGCCUUGACCGACGCUCAGAACAUCGUCAUGGCCCGGUUCAUGUCGCCGGUCAAGUGGGCGUGGCGGCUCCAGAGGCUGCUCAACGUGGGGCCGGAGAGGCGGAUGCGCGACGCGGUCGCCACGAUCCACGGCUACAUCGACAGGGCCGUCCGCGAGCGCGGCGAGAGGGGGGCGGCCGCCGGGCUGGCCCGCAAGGACGACUUCCUGUCGCGCUUCGCCUCGAGCGGCGAGCACAGCGACGAGGGCCUCCGCGACGUGGUCACCAACUUCAUCGUCGCCGGGCGGGACACGACGUCCUCGGCGCUCAGCUGGUUCUUCUGGGUGCUGUCCGGCCGGCCCGACGUGGAGGACAAGAUCGUGCGCGAGGUCCGCGCGGCGCGCGCGUCGAGCGGGGAGGGGUCGUUCGGCUACGAGGAGCUGCGCUCGAUGCAGUACCUGCAGGCGGCGAUCACGGAGUCGAUGCGGCUGUACCCGCCCGUGGCCAUGGACACGCACUGCUGCCAGCGCGAGGAUGUCCUGCCCGACGGCACGCUCGUCGGCAAAGGGUGGCAGGUCACCUACAGCGCGUACGCCAUGGCGCGGCUGGAGGAGCUAUGGGGCGCGGACUGCGCGGAGUUCCGGCCGGAGCGGUGGCUCGACGAGGAGGGGGCGUUCCGGCCGGAGAGCACGAGCAAGUACCCGGUGUUCCACGCGGGGCCGAGGAUGUGCCUCGGCAAGGAGAUGGCCUACAUACAGAUGAAGUCCAUCGUGGCCGGCGUGCUGGAGAGGUUCAGCCUCCGGCACGUCGGCGGCGAGGGGCACCCCCGGCUCGUCAUGUCGCUGACGCUGCGCAUGGGAGGCGGCUUGCCGAUGCAGGUGAAGAGCAGAGGGAGCUAG
rnacentral:rRNA from 1 species